rnacentral:ncRNA from 2 species
GGUUGUCUUCAGGGCAGGGUGAAAUUCCCGACCGGCGGUAAAGUCCGCGAGCGCAUACUGCGCAGAAUUGGUGUGAUUCCAAUACCGACAGUAAAGUCUGGAUGAAAGAAGAUGUGU